UAUACGGUUCUAUGGAAAUGUUCAUACUUUUCUAUCCGAGAUAAACAAGUAUGAGAAUAACAAAAUCGCGCAACAAUUAAAUUUAGCUGGCUCAAAAAGAGAAAUUAAUUGUUUGUUAUAUUUUUUUUAGAGAAGAAAAGAAAAUCUUUCCUUUCAAACGAUAUGUAAUAUCUACAAUAAAUUAUAUAAUGAAUAUUUCAAUAUAUAAAUAAAUUUGCCACAAUAAUAACUAAAUUGUAUUACUAUUAAAAUAUUGUCUAUUUAAUUAAAGUAUUUGCCAUACGGUGGUGUAAUAGACGAUAUUUUGAGAUAAACAAAAACGUGGUUACUCUAGGUUUCCUAAUAUCACUGAUUAAUUUUGAUUCAAAGCGCUUAUUUUUUAGACAUCAGACGUCAGUUGCAGUAUUUUUCAAGUGUUGUUAAUUUUGUGGUACAUUUAGUCUUAAAAUAAUUACAUCAUAUACGAAAUGUCUACCGAAAAUUUACGACGAUCUUCACGACUAAAAGUAAGAAAACCUAAAAGGUAUAUGUCAUCCAAUUCAGAUGAAAAUUUGGAUGAUAAUCCAGUAAAUGCAGUAGAAAAUGAACUCAGAGAUGUAGAAGAGAAUGUACAAAAGCCAGUUGAAUUAUUUUCAAGUGAUGAUGUAAGCGGACAGGCAUUAUAUAAAUUCCAAACACCUAGUAGAAAAGAUGCUAUGACAAAGAAGGCACAUUUAUGUCGUACACCUAUUAAUGAUGUUCCAUUACCCAUAGCUAAAGUUGUUCUUGAAAAGAUAAAUGUUUGUAAUAAAGAACAACCAAAAACAUCAAAGAAAGACCAGAAAAUUUCAAAAAUUCCUGUUAUUCAAAGAAAAUAUGAAUCUGGAUUAACAUCAAGUGAAAGUGAGAGUAUAUCUGAAUCUAGUGAUUAUCAUCCAUUUGAAGAUACUGAAGAAACAACCGAUAGUGAGGAUGUAGUAUCUAGUAAUGAUGAAAAAGAUCAGAUGAAAACAAGGAACCAAAAGCAAAAAUUUAUAUCACAGUCACAUUUAUUGAAUACACCAAAAAGAGUAACUAGAAAAAAUAAACCUUCAAUUAUUCAUAAAGAUUUUCAUAUGCAAACUGAUGAAUACUUUGCAACACAAUCAGAAAAGGUAGUUACAUCCGAUCGGACGUUAGAACAUCUACGUAAUUCUCGUUUAACAAAAGAAAAAUUGGAAAAAUUGUUAGCAAAUCAAAGUCAUGUAUCUUUACAACAUAAAAAGAAUAUUUAUUCAGUAACUAAUAACUACUCUACGCUGUUUCCUAUGUGGUAUUUUAUUAUGGAGCAAGGCUAUACUGUAUUGCUUUACGGCUUAGGUUCAAAAAGAUGUUUAAUCAAUGAUUUUUAUAAAAGUAUAUCUUAUCAUCCAUCACUAGUAGUAAAUGGAUUCUUUCCUAGUUUAACUAUGAAAGAUAUACUUGAUGGUAUAAUUAUUGACUUAUUGGAGUUAAGUUGUCCUAGCAAUACAACUGAAUGCAUUGAUCUUAUUGAAAAAACUUUAAGGAAAAAUCCAAAAGACAGAUUGUAUUUGUUAAUACAUAAUAUAGAUGGUAUGAUGCUACGUUCAAAUAAAGCUCAAGAUUUACUAUCUUGUCUUGCAAAUAUACCAAAUAUUUGUGUUUUAGCAUCAGUUGAUCACAUUAAUGCCCCGCUAUUAUGGGACCAUACAAAACACUCCAAAUUCAAGUUUUUUUGGUGGGACACAACAACAUUUCUAUCUUAUCAAGAAGAAACAUCUUAUGAAAGUUCGCUUUUGGUUAAGCAAAGUGGUGCUCUUGCUUUAUCAUCUCUUCAUAAUGUUUUCCUUUCUCUAACUUCAAAUGCUAAGUCAAUCUAUCUAUUGCUUGUAAAGAAUCAGCUAAGCAACAGUAAUAAUGUUAAUUUUACUGGAAUGGCAUUUAAAGAUCUUUAUCGAGCUGCCCGUGAAGGAUUUCUUGUAAGCUCAGAUUUAGCAUUAAGAGCACAAUUAACUGAGUUUAUAGAUCACAAGUUAGUUAAAAUAAAGCGCAACAUUGAUAGUAUUGAACAUCUUAUCAUUCCAUUAAGUUCUGGACUUCUAAAGCAGUUUCUAGAAGAAUACGAUACAUGAUAUUUUUAACUACCUGUAGCAUAUAAAAUAUGGUAACCUAUAAACACAUUUGCUGUGGCACUGAAGUAAUUACAUUGGUACAAGUGCUUCGAUGUCCUUUAUUUGAGCCGUGCUCAGGCCUCGCUGCCUGAACAAAACGAGCUAUGUCGACGAGGAACAAAUUCGCAGAGAACGUUGGCCAAGAACGUUCGGAUUAUUGGUUCCACGGGAGAAACGAAAGGCAGCGCCGCUUCCGGGAUUGCGCAAGCACACGGCGAUACUGAACGGGAAAGCGCACAAUGGGCGAGAAAAGGCGUGGGUAUACGUAGACGCGACCAUCGAAAUGGUUAUUUUCGACGGUGAGGUCGUCUAGGACGCAUAAAACGAGCGUUCGAGGACAUCCUUCGCGUACACCAACUCUCACUCUGUUCCUCGAUUCUAUGCCAAGCCCACGGGAGACAUAACCCCGUGUGACCUCCGUGAUUUCCUGCUCGACCACCAUAAUCGGGACCAUCCUUUAUGCUUCAUAGAGGAUAUAAAUAUAUUAUGUGAUACACGAUGUUCCAAUGACGACUUGCAAUCAGAACAAAUUUAUGGAAGUAGAUCGUUACUAGAUCGCGGAUCUUUAUGCAGAUUCAUAAUCGAUUAAAUAAAAGCUAAAGAGAGGCUCAUAGUUACUUUGUAGCUACUUCAUGCAAAUUCAUAGUUUUAUGAACGUAAAUGUUUAAAUAAAGCUAAGGAGACGUUUGUUCUAAAGAUUCUAGCAAGUAUGACAGUUUAGAGAUUUUAUAUAUUUCUUAGUGUAUUUUUACAUGUUGCGUAAUUAUCGAUUAUUGUAAAGAACCUGGUAUUCUAUUAACGUAAACAGAACAAUAGUACGAUAGUAUAAACUUGAGCAUUGCAAUUUUAAGUGGUUGAAACAGCGAAUGAAUUAAUUACGUAGCUCGUGUUAUUUUGAGUGAUCCCUUAAUUCAGUCGAAACUCGUCGACAGAUUAAAAUUACUAUCACAGUGAAACUAAAUACGAGAUAAUCUUUGAGUAAUUAAAACGAGAGAUUA